rnacentral:rRNA from 1 species
GACGAACGCUGGCGGCGUGCUUAACACAUGCAAGUCGAACGCUGAAGCCUGGCUUUUGUUGGGUGGAUGAGUGGCGAACAGGUGAGUAACACGUGAGUAACCUGCCCUCUUCUUUGGGAUAACGCCCGGAAACGGGUGCUAAUACUGGAUAUUCACUUGCCUUCGCAUGGGGGUGGGUGGAAAGGGUUUUUUCUGGUGGGGGAUGGGCUCGCGGCCUAUCAGCUUGUUGGUGGGGUGAUGGCUUACCAAGGCUUUGACGGGUAGCCGGCCUGAGAGGGUGACCGGUCACAUUGGGACUGAGAUACGGCCCAGACUCCUACGGGAGGCAGCAGUGGGGAAUAUUGCACAAUGGGCGCAAGCCUGAUGCAGCGACGCCGCGUGAGGGAUGGAGGCCUUCGGGUUGUGAACCUCUUUCGCUCAUGGUCAAGCCGCAACUCAUGGUUGUGGUGAGGGUAGUGGGUAAAGAAGCGCCGGCUAACUACGUGCCAGCAGCCGCGGUAAUACGUAGGGCGCGAGCGUUGUCCGGAAUUAUUGGGCGUAAAGGGCUUGUAGGCGGUUGGUCGCGUCUGCCGUGAAAUCCUCUGGCUUAACUGGGGGCGUGCGGUGGGUACGGGCUGGCUUGAGUGCGGUAGGGGAGACUGGAACUCCUGGUGUAGCGGUGGAAUGCGCAGAUAUCAGGAAGAACACCGGUGGCGAAGGCGGGUCUCUGGGCCGUUACUGACGCUGAGGAGCGAAAGCGUGGGGAGCGAACAGG